CCUACGGGAGGCUGCAAUUAGGAAUCUUGUGCAAUGGGCGAAAGCCUGACACAGCGACGCCGCGUGAAGGAUGACAGCCCUCGGGUUGUAAACUUCUUUUAAGCAGGAAGAAACAAAUGACGGUACUGCUUGAAUAAGCCCCGGCUAACUCCGUGCCAGCAGCCGCGGUAAUACGGAGGGGGCGAGCGUUGUCCGAAGUUACUGGGCGUAAAGCGCGCGUAGGCGGGUUGCCAAGUCCGCUGUGAAAGCCUGGAGCUUAACUCCAGCGGGUCGGU
rnacentral:rRNA from 1 species